UACGUAGGGCGCAAGCGUUGUCCGGAAUUAUUGGGCGUAAAGAGCUCGUAGGCGGUUUGUCGCGUCUGCUGUGAAAACCUGGGGCUCAACUCCGGGCCUGCAGCCGAUACGGGCUGACUAGAAUUCGGUAGGGGAGACUGGAAUUCCUGGUGUAGCGGUGAAAUGCGCAGAUAUCAGGAGGAACACCAGUGGCGAAGGCGGCUCACUGGCCCGGUACUGACGCUGAGGUGCGAAAGCGUGGGGAGCAAACAGG
rnacentral:rRNA from 1 species